CAACAGGUAUAAACACCUUGAAGGUGUUAGAUCCCUUCUGAUCUUGAAAGCUAAACAAGGUUAGAGCUGAUUAGUACUUGGAUGGGCAACAGUGAAGGAAUACUAGGCUAUCUUUCAG
rnacentral:rRNA from 1 species